AGGUUUGUUUUUUAAAAUCAUUGUUUUGUGGAGAAAUUCAACAAAAUUAAUUAUAGCUGAUUAUAUUUUGCUCACCAGAUUAAGGGUGAAUCGGUUUUGCCCAGCCCACUGACCCAAAUAUGAAUCUAUUUUGGCAACACCCUCAAAGAAACAUGCAGGAUUAAUACUUUGUGUCUUUCAAUCCAAUCAAGUUGACAGUAUUAACCAUCACACAGGCUAAAGCAAAACAUAUGAUCUAAACACUCUACAGCUCAGGAAACUCUGAACAAAAGUGACUAAGAAUUCUAUUUUAAAACUAACACCCUUCUUUACAAAUUGGCAGUGUAGCAGUCGUUUCUUUUUAAGGAGAACUGAGGACGCUAUAAGCAAGCAGAAGACCCAGCUCCUGGGAAAUACCCUCUGGGAUGCAACUUCACUCCUUUUUAGUGGAUUCCUUCCCAGCAGCAAGCAUUUAUGGACAUGGUACAACAUAAAGGCAGGGUGCUAGGGAAUGCAAGGCAAAGUGAGAAUGACCGAAGCUGGGAAGAAAAGACGUAUCCUCCAGAAAUACAUACAAAUUCCCCUAAUGCAAGUUCUUGGAGAGUUACAUUUCCAAGCACUUACUUCAGGUGGUUUCUUGCUGGAUUCAACCAGCGGG
rnacentral:lncRNA from 1 species